rnacentral:rRNA from 1 species
UUGAACGCUGGCGGCAGGCCUAACACAUGCCAGUCGAACGGUAACAGGAAGCAGCUUGCUGCUUUGCUGACGAGUGGCGGACGGGUGAGUAAUGUCUGGGAAACUGCCUGAUGGAGGGGGAUAACUACUGGAAACGGUAGCUAAUACCGCAUAACGUCGCAAGACCAAAGAGGGGGACCUUCGGGCCUCUUGCCAUCGGAUGUGCCCAGAUGGGAUUAGCUUGUUGGUGGGGUAACGGCUCACCAAGGCGACGAUCCCUAGCUGGUCUGAGAGGAUGACCAGCCACACUGGAACUGAGACACGGUCCAGACUCCUACGGGAGGCAGCAGUGGGGAAUAUUGCACAAUGGGCGCAAGCCUGAUGCAGCCAUGCCGCGUGUAUGAAGAAGGCCUUCGGGUUGUAAAGUACUUUCAGCGGGGAGGAAGGGAGUAAAGUUAAUACCUUUACUCAUUGACGUUACCCGCAGAAGAAGCACCGGCUAACUCCGUG